AACUACGCAACGCAUGGCUUGUAAAGCUUCGAAUGGGCAAGGAACCAAGCUCCUACGCACGUGUGUGCAGCAAGCACUUCCGCGAAGAACACUUCGUGUACGGAGUGGGAGCGCGAAUGUUCGGGUGGAAAAAGCGCUGCCUUGAAGCCGGAGCUGUGCCGUCGAAGAAUUUACCGGUGCGCCCGUUGGAUCGUCCGCGUACUGAGCGUCGCCAAAUCCGCAAGCAGCAGAGUGUUGCAGCAGACGUGCCAUUGGCGACGGUACAUCCCACCCCCAAGCCCCCUGCAGAUACUCUAGAUGUCGAGGCACAAUAAUCUGAAUAUGAGAUUCAGCAGAGCUUGGGCACAUCCGCCUUCAGUAACCACCAAGAUGUUAACAAUGAAGAUGGCCUGGAAGGUUAGUUUGAUGGUCCUAUUGCUACCUGGCUCAGGUUCGAUUUUUCGUACAACACAGUUUUAACAAUCUUGUGCUUCAGAUGUUCCUGCUGCAGCGCUUGCCUUCAGAAGAGAAAUUGGACUUCAAGUUAACACCCUUGAUGCUGAGAUACAUCAACCACUCAGCAUAGCGCGUGUAAAAACUCAAAAAGACCUAAGUGUAAUCACUGGUCUUCCAUGCUACCAGCUAUUUUAUAAUCUUUGUGAUCUGUACACUGACAGCCGCAUGCUUAUGCAGGCAAAAAGCUUUUGCCUAUGCAACGAAGAUGCGGUGCUAAUGACUAUGAUGAAGCUC
rnacentral:lncRNA from 1 species